rnacentral:rRNA from 1 species
AAGAAAGUAAUUAAGAGCAAACGGCGGAUGCCUUGGCUUGCAGAGGCGAUGAAGGACGUGAUAAGCUGCGAUAAGCUACGAGGAGGUGCACAUAACCUUUGAUUCGUAGAUUUCCGAAUGGGGCAACCCGGCUGGUUGAAGACCAGUCACCUUUUAAAGGAGCGAACCCGGAGAACUGAAACAUCUAAGUACCCGGAGGAAGAGAAAAUAAUUAAUGAUUCCGAUAGUAGCGGCGAGCGAAAUCGGAUUAGCCCAAACCAAUUCUGUUUUGGCAGAGUUGGGGUUGUAGGACCACGUUGUGAGAUGUUCCACGAAUUAGAAUCAACUGGAAAGUUGAACCAAAGAGGGUGAUAGUCCCGUAUAGGUAAGUGCGAAUUAUUUCUAGUGGUAUCCUGAGUAGGGCGGGACAUGUGAAAUCCUGUCUGAAUCUACCAGAACCAUCUGGUAAGGCUAAAUACUCCUGCAAGACCGAUAGCGAACUAGUACCGUGAGGGAAAGGUGAAAAGUACCCUGAAUAAGGGAGUGAAAUAGAUCCUGAAACCGUUUGCUUACAAGCGGUCGGAGCAUCAUAAGAUGUGACGGCGUGCCUUUUGCAUAAUGAUCCUACGAGUUACUCGUCACUAGCAAGGUUAAGGACUUCAGGUCCGCAGCCGAAGCGAAAGCAAGUUUGAAUAGAGCGUAUAGUUAGUGGCGGUAGACGCGAAACCGAGUGAUCUACCCAUGGGCAGGUUGAAGCUCUGGUAACACAGAGUGGAGGACCGAACCGGUUGACGUUGAAAAGUCUUCGGAUGACCUGUGGGUAGGGGUGAAAGGCCAAUCAAACUCGGAAAUAGCUCGUUCUCCCCGAAAUGUAUUUAGGUACAGCGUCGUGGUAAAGAGUAGUAGAGGUAGAGCUACUGGUUGGAUGCGGGGGCUUCACCGCCUACCAAAUCCUGUCAAACUCCGAAUGCUACUACUUGUUUCACGGCAGUGAGGGCAUGGGUGCUAAGGUCCAUGUCCGAGAGGGAAAGAACCCAGACCAUCUGCUAAGGUCCCCAAAUGUAUACUAAGUUGAUCAAACGUGGUCAGACUGCUUAGACAGCUAGGAUGUUGGCUUGGAAGCAGCCAUUCAUUUAAAGAGUGCGUAACAGCUCACUAGUCGAGCGGUCCGGCGUGGAUAAUAAUCGGGCAUAAGUAUACUACCGAAGCAAUGGACAGAAAUGUGGUAGGGGAGCAUUCUAGUUGCGCCGAAGGUGAACUGUGAGGUUUGCUGGAGCGGCUAGAAAAGAAAAUGUAGGAAUGAGUAACGAUAAAGCGGGUGAGAAACCCGCUCGCCGAAAAUCUAAGGUUUCCUCAGCUAUGCUAAUCAGCUGAGGGUUAGUCGCGACCUAAGGCGAACCCGAACGGGGUAGUCGAUGGACAACAGGUUAAUAUUCCUGUACUUGUUUAUACUGUGAUGGGGUGACGAUGUAUUGAAAGCACCGCGCACUGACGGAAUAGUGCGUUAAAGGCUGUAUCUAUAGGACCUGUAGGCAAAUCCGCAGGACCUGGAGAAGGUCGAUAGUACCAAGAGUCUUCGGACAAUUGGAUAGUGUGCCUAAAAGCAUCCAAGAAAAACCUCUAAACUUCAGGUAUAAACAACGCGUACCGUAAACCGACACAGGUAGAUGGGAUGAGAAUUCUAAGGCGCUCGAGUGAUUCAUGGCUAAGGAACUAGGCAAAAUAGUCCUGUAACUUCGGGAGAAAGGACGCCCCCUUAUGGGGGGCCGCAGUGAAAAGGCCCAGGCGACUGUUUAUCAAAAACACAGGACUCUGCUAAAUCGAAAGAUGAUGUAUAGGGUCUGACACCUGCCCGGUGCUGGAAGGUUAAGAGGAGAUGUUAGCUUUUAGCGAAGCAUUGAAUUGAAGCCCCAGUAAACGGCGGCCGUAACUAUAACGGUCCUAAGGUAGCGAAAUUCCUUGUCGGGUAAGUUCCGACCUGCACGAAUGGUGUAACGAUCUGGGCACUGUCUCAGCCAUGAGCUCGGUGAAAUUGUAGUAUCGGUGAAGAUGCCGAUUACCCGCAGCGGGACGAAAAGACCCCGUGAACCUUCACUACAACUUUGUAUUGACAUUGGACAAGAGAUGUGUAGGAUAGGUGGGAGACUAUGAAGCGUUGUCGCUAGGCAGCGUGGAGUCAACCUUGAAAUACCACCCUUCGCUUGUUUGAUGCCUAACCCCGCAAGGGGGACAGUGCAUGGUGGGUAGUUUGACUGGGGUGGUCGCCUCCAAAAGAGUAACGGAGGCUUUCAAAGGUAUCCUCAGUACGCUUGGUAACCGUACGUAGAGUGCAAUGGCACAAGGAUGCUUGACUGUGAGACUAACAAGUCGAGCAGGUACGAAAGUAGGACAUAGUGAUCCGGUGGUUACGCAUGGAAGGGCCAUCGCUCAAAGGAUAAAAGGUACUCCGGGGAUAACAGGCUGAUCUCCCCCAAGAGCUCACAUCGACGGGGGGGUUUGGCACCUCGAUGUCGGCUCGUCACAUCCUGGGGCUGGAGAAGGUCCCAAGGGUUGGGCUGUUCGCCCAUUAAAGUGGCACGCGAGCUGGGUUCAGAACGUCGCGAGACAGUUCGGUCUCUAUCUGCUGUGGGCGUUGGAAAUUUGAGAGGAGCUGACUUUAGUACGAGAGGACCGAGUUGGACAGCCCUCUAGUGUACCUGUUGUAUCGCCAGAUGCACCGCAGGGUAGCUACGGCUGGUUGGGAUAAGCACUGAAAGCAUAUAAGUGCGAAGCCCACCUCAAGAUGAGAUUUCCCUUAAGGGUCGUUCGAGAUGAGGACGUUGAUAGGCUUCAGGUGUAAAGGCAGUAAUGUCAUAGCCGAGAAGUACUAAUUACCCGUGGCUUUCUAAG